rnacentral:lncRNA from 1 species
AUAUACAAACAUAUGUAGAAAAAAUAAAGCGAUAGCUAAAAGAAAGAAGAGAUAAUUAUAAUUACCACAUAAGCAAGAGCAAGGCAAUUGAUGCUGCUAUCGGAGAGCAUAGCAGUGAGAGUCCUUGUACCAAAGUAUGCAUAAAAGAAUUUGGUUUCCCUGCUGUAUGCCAAUAUAGCUGUCAAAAUAAACUUAUAUGUUUUAGCAACACUUUUACCAUAUAUGUGCAAAAGGAACAUACAAUUCCUUUUCUUUUUGUUUUUUCUUUCUUAACUACAUCCACAAUUUUUAAAAGAAAAAG